rnacentral:rRNA from 1 species
GACGAACGCUGGCGGCGUGCUUAACACAUGCAAGUCGAACGGAAAGGCCCUGCUUUUGUGGGGUGCUCGAGUGGCGAACGGGUGAGUAACACGUGAGUAACCUGCCCUUGACUUUGGGAUAACUUCAGGAAACUGGGGCUAAUACCGGAUAGGAGCUCCUGCUGCAUGGUGGGGGUUGGAAAGUUUCGGCGGUUGGAGAUGGACUCGCGGCUUAUCAGCUUGUUGGUGGGGUAGUGGCUUACCAAGGCUUUGACGGGUAGCCGGCCUGAGAGGGUGACCGGCCACAUUGGGACUGAGAUACGGCCCAGACUCCUACGGGAGGCAGCAGUGGGGAAUAUUGCACAAUGGGCGGAAGCCUGAUGUAGCAACGCCGCGUGCGGGAUGACGGCCUUCGGGUUGUAAACCGCUUUCGCCUGUGACGAAGCGUGAGUGACGGUAAUGGGUAAAGAAGCACCGGCUAACUACGUG